CGGGAGUGGCGAAAUUGGUAGACGCACCAGAUUUAGGUUCUGGCGCCGCAAGGUGUGCGAGUUCAAGUCUCCCAGGUACCCCAGCCA
rnacentral:tRNA from 1 species